rnacentral:rRNA from 1 species
UACAGAGGGUGCGAGCGUUAAUCGGAAUUACUGGGCGUAAAGCGCACGUAGUCGGCUUUGCAAGUCGGUUGUGAAAGCCCCGGGCUCAACCUGGGAACCGCGCUUGAGACUGGCAUGCUCGAGUUCGGGAGAGGAUGGUGGAAUUCCCAGUGUAGAGGUGAAAUUCGUAGAUAUUGGGAAGAACACCGAUGGCGAAGGCGGCGACCUGGGUCGAUACUGACGCUGAUGCGCGAAAGCGUGGGGAGCAAACAGG